rnacentral:rRNA from 1 species
GAUGAACGCUGGCGGCGUGCCUAAUACAUGCAAGUAGAACGCUGAAGGAAGGAGCUUGCUCUUUCCGGAUGAGUUGCGAACGGGUGAGUAACGCGUAGGUAACCUGCCUGGUAGCGGGGGAUAACUAUUGGAAACGAUAGCUAAUACCGCAUAACAGUAGAUGUUGCAUGAUAUCUACUUAAAAGGUGCAAUUGCACCACUACCAGAUGGACCUGCGUUGUAUUAGCUAGUUGGUGAGGUAACGGCUCACCAAGGCGACGAUACAUAGCCGACCUGAGAGGGUGAUCAGCCACACUGGGACUGAGACACGGCCCAGACUCCUACGGGAGGCAGCAGUAGGGAAUCUUCGGCAAUGGACGGAAGUCUGACCGAGCAACGCCGCGUGAGUGAAGAAGGGUUUCGGAUCGUAAAGCUCUGUUGUAAGAGAAGAACGAGUGUGAGAGUGGAAAGUUCACACUGUGACGGUAUCUUACCAGAAAGGGACGGCUAACUACGUG